rnacentral:lncRNA from 1 species
AAAAUGAAGAUGAAACACCUCUCGUAGAAGUUGAAGUCCUCUCUGCAGCAGAUUCAUCCCUCUCAACCGCAAAUCCAGUCCUUCCAACAGAAGAUGCAGCCCUCCGAACAAUUAAUCCAAUCCUUCUAGCAGAGGCUGUAGCCCUCCCAACAGCAGAUCCAGCUCUAGCAGCAACAGAUCCAGCUAUAGCAGAUGUAUAUUUAGCUCUAUCAACAGCAGAACCAGCCCUUCCAACAGUACCUAUAGAUCCAGCUCUAUCUACUACUCAUCUACCAGCAGUUCUUUUUCCGGUA